rnacentral:lncRNA from 1 species
GCUCACUGCCCAUGGCACAGCAUAUGGGUACCUUUCGCACUGGAUCUGUUCUGUCGCAGCACAGACAAGAACAAUGCGGGUCAGAUUGGUGGCCUUUCCUCCACUUUCUUAGAAGGACGCCAGAGGAAAGCAAAGAGGACUGCGUUUGACUUGCUCCAUGGAGUACAAAGAGUUAAUAGAAUUGUGAGUAAACGUGAUUUACGCCAGUAUGGAGGGAAGAGAUCCAGCCACACCUUUGGCAGCCAUUUUAUUAUACCACGUUUUAAUAAUUGGUGGCCGUGGUCUUCAGACCUUCUGUUAACCCCACGUGAUAACACAUAAAACCAAAAUUGACACAUAAUUAAAUAAAGAAAGGGACACUUAGAGCUGUAAUCUCAGGGUGGUAUACAGGAACAUGGUGGUUUGAUUUUUAACCCCUUCUGCACUGUGGCAACUUACCUUGUUGCGUUACAAAGGGAGGAAAUGGUUAAUGGCCCAAUAGAACCCUUAACCUUUCAUCAUUUGAGAGGCGUGGUUGAGUUAACCUCAGCACCAAGUGGCACCUUGGUGUAAGCUCAAAUAUGGCAUGCCAGCAAGAAGUCACCAGUGGAAGUACCUGAUUGGCCCCUGCUUACCUCAUGGAUUACCGUAUCUGUGGUAUGAUCUCAUCACCCCCUAACCCUCGGCGGCAGCACCUCCUCCUGCCUGCACAUCUGCUUCCCAAGGGAAGAGGUAGGGCACAGCCCUCCCAACCUUUUAAUAACUGAUAAUCAAUACAUCUGAUCCCUCUCCACAGGCAUACAUAGAGUGUGCCAGAUGGCUGCGGCUAAUUACUGCCACCUGAGCCCCUACUUAUUUAUAUUUAAGUAACCACUUGCACCGAGGGCAUUGUGGGGUAUGUAGUUCCUGCUAAUUCUGGGCCAACCACCGUAUAACUGUUUAUAACAAGACCUAAUUAACCCCUGAAUUGCCAGAGAGGCAUACAGUGUGUAAAAAAUGUUUGAUCUGAAGCAGUAUGACAAAACAAGGUGUUAAUGUGUUAAUUGAAGAACAAUAUACGAUAUAUAAGAUCAACAUGUUUGAAAUGCCCCCCCCAAAAAAAAAUAUAUAUAAAAGAGCCAAAUGAACUAUAUGUGCUUUACCUGUAACAUGGUUUUGAAAUUAAUAAUGUGGUAGAAUAAUAGAGCAUUUUAUUAAAUCUUCGGCACUAUUUAGUCAGAGGUUAGAAGGAUGAUUGGCUCUUAAGUUAAGAGCUUGCGUACAGAAAGUGGUAACCAAAGUGGACUGCAAUUCCAAUCGUACCCAGGCAUCACUGAUUUAAUAUCACCCAAUAGGUGAUAACAGCGGCAUUUUUGGUCCUGAUAAGCCUUUAAACAGUUCAGAGUGAUUUAAUAUAAGCAAUUUAAGGCAUAUUAUUAUUUUAUAUUAUAAAUUUUGGUUUUAGUAAGUUUGGAUUUUGAAUAUUCUUGUAAUUAUGUGUAUAUUUUACAUUAAAAAUGUAUCAAGCAUUUAGAAACCCUGACAUGGUGUUAUCAAAUUUGACAAGAAAAAGCUGUAGACAAAUGGGUUUUCAUGCUUAGAAACAUCACCAAACAGUGCCACCAUAUUACCUAAACAGUGCGACCAUCUAUUCUAAACCAAGAAUGUCAAACUCAAAGGCUAACAUGGGCCAAUUAAACAAGGUUUAAGUUUAUGUGGGCUGCAAAAAAACAAAAACUUCAGUUUUAAUAGAAACUUAGGUUUAUUUCAAAAAGUUCCGUAUAAAAAAAGUUGCCCAACUGACACUGGACGUCCUCACACUCGUAGGGUAGUAAACAAAAGAGCAAAUUUAUUUUAAGGAAAUGUGCAUUUCCAUAUAACCAAUUUUUCAGUCCAACUACUUUGACAUAUUAAGAAAAGUUUGGUAAUGGAACUGAAAUGGUGAAUGUAUGCUGUUACACAGGUGUAAAAAACAAAUGAUGUUAUCUUGUUGAUUUUUAAGUCCUAUGAGUAUGUUCAUUUUGACUGAGAUCAUCAAACUUGAUGAUCUCAGCCAAUCCAAUGCUUUACCAUAGGAAAGCAUUGGGAAGCUAUUGUGCAUGUGUGGCUAAGCGCUGCGCGGCCAAUCAGCAUCUGCAUGGGGAAUGUUCAACGUCUUCAUGCAGACCCAAUCUAAUACACUCUUCCCUCCCCCCAUCUAAUACACUGCUCCCAAAUCUAAUGCACUGCCCCCCCCUUCCUCAACUCGUAUACACUGCCCCACACCCCCACUCUAAAACACCAGCCCCCCAAUCUAACAAACUACUUCACUCUAAUACACAGCCUCUCCCAAUCUAAUACACAGCUUCCCGCACCCCUCUAUAUUACACUUCCCCCCUCCCUCCACUCGAAUUGAAUACACUGCUCCCUCCCUACCUCAAUUUAACACACUGCCCCCUCCCACCACUCUAAUACACUGCCCCCCUCCCAAUUUAAUACACUGCCCCAUCCUUCCACCACUCUAAUACACUGCCACCAUUCCUCCCACCAAUUUAAUACACUCUCUACCUCCCCAUUUUAACACACUACACAGGAAGGUCCCCCAAGACCAUCAUAAGAUGAGCUACUCGUCUUCCAGUUCCAGCCCAGCUGAAGGAGGAGUGGCUGGCAUGCUCUGCAGACAGACAGCAAAUCUGCGCCAUGUAGCGGUUGGAAAUUACUUCACACACUGUAUGCGCAUAUCUGGCAGCCGGCCUUGCAGCUAGUCACAGCUACAGCACAUAGCUGCCCCAUGGCAGGCAUGCCACAAAAAUAGUCAUUGCAGGCCGCAAGUUUGGCAUGCUUGAUCUAAAUAGUGCGACCACCUAUAAAGUGCGACCAUCAGUGUCGUACACACAAUCCAUGGGGCCCCCGGUGCGAAACUGAUCAAUGGGAACCCCCCUCUUCUCCCCCCUCCUCGACAGACACACACACAUACAUACAGAGACACAUACAUACACAGUCACAUACAUACAGAAACAUACAUAGAGACACACACACAUAGACACAUACAGACAGACAUACAUACAGACACACACACAAGACACACAUACAUACAAAGACACAUACAUACAGACACACAUACACAUACAUACAAAGACCCAUGCAUACACACAUACAUACAAACAGGCACACAUACAGACAGACAGACACAGACACACACUGUAACGGAACCGUUGGCACCCCGACCGGGUACCUUCCGCUGACCGAUGCUCCUAGUGCUUUCCGAGGUCUCCAAGCACUCCACCUGACACCAUAACCACUGCAGACCCCACGAACCGCCGCAGCUUGGUUGGGGUCUCGCCGUCUCCACCCAUUCUGGCUCCAAGACCAGGGUCCAGCUUCCAGUAGGUCGACCUCUCCGAAUUCCAGAGAGCAGGAACAGGAACAAGCUCUUAGCAGAGCUUCGUGAUCAUACCCUGGGGAGUAUAGGGAUUACCUACCGUUCUCCAAUCCCCCAAACAUGAGCCGAAACUUCAUGAAGGUACAAGAUGAUCUCACUCCAAUGAGCGUUUAUUACUCCUUAUAUACAAGUUUUCAUGCCAGAGGCACACCCCCUGGACCUGGUGGUAAACUGUGACAAAAGGGACACAAACCAAUGGGAACACUAAUUAACAUAAUAACACUCCCACACACACAAUGAAAUCCCUCCUCUCCCUCCUGGAGAUAAUUGGCUUAAGGCACUGCAGUAAACCUCAAUUAUCUCCAGGUACAGAAAAUAUCUACAUUUUACACUAACAGCAAAAAUACGUAAAAAUACAUAAAAAUACAUCAUUCUUAUUAUAGAACCCCCACAUUUGUCCAGUGACAAAAGGCAUUUCGUCCCACACACAUACACACAUACAGACAGACAGACAGACACACACACACACAGACACACAAACACAUACAUACAAACACACACAUAUACAACAUUUUUAAGUCACCCUCCUGUUUCCUACUUUUUAGGUGCAGGAGGGUGACUUUCCCUCGGAUCCAGUGGUGGCUCAGGUUGAUGUGGGCUCUCUCUGAUAGCUGGGAGGAGUAACGGGUAGUCACUUCCUCCCAGCAGUGAUCUCAUCACAGGGGGCCUGGUCGCACUGUUAAAGCACCGCAGCCAGACCGGGCCCCCUGGAAAUCCAUACCCAUCGGGUGGCCCUAACAGCACGGGCCACCCAAUUGGCCCCUUAAACAUGCGGCCCCGGCGGUUUGCUGCACGGGCCAGGGCCGCAAAACAUGGCGGCUGGUACCCGUGGCAUGCUGCAACCCCUAUAUGUACACCACUGCAACCAUCUAAACCAGGGGUAGUCAACCUUUUAAUACCUACCGCCCAUUUUUGUAUCUUUGUUGAUUCUACGUUUUUAUGUGUGACUGUGAGGUGCUGUGUGUGAAGGGUACUGUGUUUGUGUGUAAAGGGUGUAGUGUGUGUGUGUGUGAGUGUCACGGACAGAUAGGAUCUAACAAGCAAUGCAAAUACCAAAGAACAGAAAACGUAAUAGCGGACCUCAAUGGCCGAAUUAAACUCCACUAGAAUAUACAAGGCAAGCCGAGGUCAAGGAAACAGAAGACAGACUAAACGUUAGGAAAAGCAAAAGGUCAACGACAGAGAGGAGAAUAAUCAAGGAAUAGCCAAGGUAAAAUACCUGAAAUACAAGAAAUACGACAGGGCAUCGUAUAUCUUUUGUUUGAUGACAGGGCAUUAAACAAAAGGAAAAAAGAGUUUAAACAACCUAGGAAAGGUUCUCAUUGGUUAUCGGGAUCUGAUGACGCCAAAAUGUGCGUGCACGUGGAUGACAUGAUGACACGCAUGUGUGUGUCACCAGCAUCCAAAAUGGACGAUGUGCCUUCAAAUUGCGGCCUUUGGGAGUGGAGAGCGGAGGGACACCCAGCAAGUGCUAAGUUUAGUCUUAACUUCAGCGUGUCGGGCACGGGUACGUCAGCGGCAUGACAGUGAGGGGUGCACUGUGUGUGUAAAAGGGCCUUGGCCUUUUCUGCAGUACCCACCACCGCCCACUUGAAAUCCCAAACCGCCCACUAGUGGGCGGUAGGGACCCGGUUAACUACCCAUGAUCUAAACCAGGCCUGUCCAACCUGCGGCCCCCCAAAUGUUGCUGAACUACAACUCCUAUGAUUCUUUCAAUGAAACAGAUAGCCAGGGAAUCAUGGUAGUUGUAGUUCAGCAACAUCUGGGGGGGCGCAGGUUGGACAGCCCUGAUCUAAACAGUUUGACCACCUAAACAGUGCAGCCACCUAAACAGUACGACCAUGUCACCUAAUCAGUGCAACCAUCUAAACAGUGUGACCUUGUCCCUAUACAGUGCGACCAUCUAAACAGUACGGCCAUGUCCAGAAAACAGUGCGACCAUGUAAACAGUAUGGCAAUGUCACCUAAACAGUGCAACCAUCUUAACAGUGUGACCUUGUCCCUAAACAGUGCGGCCAUGUCACCUAAACAUUGCAACCAUCCAAACAGUACGGCCAUGUCCCUAAACAGUGUGGCCAUCUAAAAAGUGUGACCAUGACCUAAGCAACGCGGUCAUGUCAUCUAAACAGUGCGACCAUGUCACCUAAACAGCGUGGCCAUCUAAACAGUACGGCCAUUUAAACAGUGCGACCAUGUCCCUAAACAGUGUGGUCAUAUCAUCUAAACAGUGCGACCAUGUCACCUAAACUGCAUGGCUAUCUAAACAGUAUGGCCAUUUAAACAGUGCGACCAUGUCCCUAAACAGUGCGGUCAUAUCAUCUAAACAGUGUGACCAUGUUCCUAAACAGUGAGUGUAUAUCUAUCAAACAGUGAAAGUAUGUCUACUAAAGCGUGAGGGCACGCCAACUAAACUGGAGGCAGCCAACUACUGCUCAUUCUUAGCACCUAGGCAGCUGUUGUUGUACUGAUCUCGCCCAUUCCCCCACCAUGCUCAAUAAACAAAAUCUAUAUGGUGCAGGCUAUGGCAAGUCAAAUGUAUGUUAAUGGUAACAUUUUAUCUUUUCCACUUUCAUAAAUGUGAAGGCUUGGCCUGCAGUUGUGGAAGGGGCAUGGUCCCCUAUUUAAACCCACUACUCAGCUCCCUCUGCCUCGUUCGCACUUUAGCGUUUGCAUGACGCUAGUUCCAGUCACAUUUCCUCUGUCACCUGGUUCUCGUGGCUUUCGUUACCUGGCCUGCCGUUCCCCCGCUGUCCGCUUGACUGUGGUUGUUCUGGGCUCUGUUCCGGCUCUCCUGAUGUCCCUGGCACUCCAAGCCUUGGCUAUCCAAACUGACUCCUCCUCUGAACCGUGAGAUGCUUACCCUACCAUCGCGCCAUGGUCGCAGUCACUCGGCGUCAUCACGGUUUGGGUCUAUUCUCAGCACUGUAUUUCGUAUUUGUUAGUUUUUCUCAUGUGUUGUUUUUUUCACAUGUUCCUGUUGCUUGGUGUCGGCCUCACGAACCACGUUCGCAUAGGCAUGGUUUGCGUUUUUUCGCUACUUCCAAGGUGUUUUCAUGGCUGUGUGGUGUUCGCGCGUUUUCCUGCAAACGCCUCUCCAUUUCUUUGGUUUUCGUUUGGUUUUCUACACAUAAGCCCUUUGGCCGAACAGAGCUUUCGUGCAGUUUUGGUUAGAAUGUGACUCUCACUUUGUAAGUGUUAGCAUGUUUGCGUUCGAAUGUCCCCCUCUCCUCGUGGGUUUGUUCGGGGGUGUUUGUCUGACCCCCUAGUGGUGGGUUUUGAUAUUGCUCACAAUGUUGAAAAAAUCAAAACAAAACAUGGUUCUAAUUACGGUUGCUGCCUCGUACCCCCCUACGUUUCAUUACACAUUUCCCAGGUACGUCCUGUCUCGAUCUCGCUACCCUUCCCUCUUAGUCUAGACGUGUCUGGGUCUUAGGUGUCCAAUAAGACCCAGACUGGCUUCUUCACCUUAGGUUAGUCAUCCCGCGAGGCCAACACCCAUCCUUAUACUCAGAGGUACUAUGUCCCUCGGGACAAAUCAUAGUUAGUCGCCUCGCAGCAUGGCAUAGUGAGGGCCUCAACUGUCACUACCAUUUUAUCUUAUGUUACAAGUCACCGAGAGGCCUACAACCCUCCACAACAUUCGGUGGCCACGUUAUCCCCUUGCGCCAACGCAUACAUAGAGCCUCUCUUGACGCUUGGCAUCUAGCAGGGCCUCACCUGUCACCAACCUAGUUUAAUUGUUUCGCCGCUAGCAAGUGGAUGCAGGAGAGGGCCGAGUGCUGCUAACCCCUCUGAUGUUCACUCCAUGUUGUCUUCUCUCGUGGCAUCUAUGUUGCAGAUCAAUCAGAGGUUGGAGAAGCUGGCCAGUUUUCCCGCUCCUGUUCCAGCAGAACCUCCUGUGGCUGGCCCGGGUAAUUUGUUGUCUAACAUGGAUACUCCACUGGAUGUCUAUCCAGCACAUAUGGUCCCGGCUAAUAUUAGGAAGGAUAUCUUGGACGGCAAGGACCGACAUUACCGACCUGGUUUCGCAACUCAUUGCCUCUCAAGAUAUCAUAGAUAAUAAGACUUACACCUAUGGUGAUUUGCCGGUUGUGAUCAAGGCCCGGGUCCCCUGGUUUAACAGGAAACUCUCUGUCCCGGAAUUUGUCCUGGCAUUUGGGUUAUUUAGGGAUGUUUUGUGCUCGGUCUACCCUGCUAGGAGGCAGGAGUUGGACCUUUACAUGCACAAACUGGUGGACUUGGGUCACAAAUAUGGAGGUACAUCUUUUUACGAUUACGACAGGUCCUUCUCUGCUAAGGUGUCUGCGGUUCUCAGUUUGGUGUUAGGUUGAAUUGGAGUAAAUUGUUCCGUCCCCUUCUACACAACCUGACAAGGUCAUCAAGGAAAAAUUGGGUCGCCCCAUACUCUUUCUGGGGAAGUCCCAGGUCUGUAAUAACUUUAAUGCCGGUACAUGCAGUUUUAGCGCAUGCAGGCUUCUGCACGUUUGUUUCAAGUGUUUCUGUGCACAUGCAAAAACGAUGUGCCCCAAUUAAUUGUAUCCCAAACCAUACUUAACCUCUGUUAAUGUGAAUGCCUUAUCAGCUAUGUUGUCUUCUCACCUAUGCAGGCACUUAGUUGAUUUCUUAAUCUCUGUUUUUUCUGAGGGUUUUCAUACAGGCAUUAUACAUAUGCCGUCAGGUAUCUUCGAGUGUAAAAACCUGCAAUCAGCCCUGGCACAGCCGCAGGCGGUUGAUGCUCUCAUAGAACAGGAGGUCGUAGGGGUUUUUCUUUUAAGUCCUUUUCAAGCUCCGUCUUUCACUUCAUGGAGGCGCUUGACUUAAUAAAACGGAUAUUGUCAAUGCUUUUAAACUAUUACCGACACACUAUACUCUCUGGCAUUUGCAUGGUGUUAAAUGGAAGGGCCUAUAUUACUGUAACGGAGCUCCCCGUACUCCAACCGAGUACCCUCCAUUGAUGGACGCUUCCUAGCUUGCGCCGAGGACCACACACACCGCACCGGACACCACCGCAAACUCCACAACCGCUGUAGCUUGACUGGAGUCUCGCCGUCUUCCUUCCACCCUGGAUCAGCUUCUGUCCUCCAGGACUGUGUGGGAAAGACCUCUUCCUUCCACCCUGUAUGAACCUCCAGCAUCCAGGACUGUGCGGGGAAGACCCCUCCUCCAAGCAGAACGUGUCAGGAACAAGCUCUUAAAAGAGCUAAGUGAUUCGAGCUCAGGGGAGUAUGCAGAGCAUAGCAAUCCCCAUUGUGAUUAUAACAGCUCCCUCCAAUAACGAGACAAGGCUACGUUUAGAGGGAUCAAGAAGAACUGUCUGAACCUUUAUUUUACUUGGGACUAGCCCAUAUGGUCAUUACAUUAACAAUGCUGUGAAAACUCAAUAAAAUUACAAACAGCCAAAUCAUAGCAGGCAACAUACAGUGACUUAUGGCCUAUUUUUAAAGGGGUGGGGGAGACAUAUUUAACAUAAAAUAUCUCAUGUGCCUGCAGAAUUAGCAAUAUGCAAAUCUACCCGAAUAUGCAAAUGAACCAGUCUUGCUAUUCGGGUAGUGCAUAUUUCUGUUGCUACCAACAGAGGGCACUAGACAAGCUCCGUAGCCAAAUCCACCUAGUUGGUAGCAAACCUCAGCAGUACAGGAGAGCAGGCAAUACAUUUCACAGUACACACACACACUAUAAACAUUACACACACCCUGCACCUAUAAUGGGUACAGGGUGACUAAAACAUAAGAGAAAUAAAGCAACCUACAUAAAUAGUCUGUCUGAAGGUAGAAUAGGGGCCUUAAAGCCAAAUACAUCAAAGAGUCAUAGUCACCGGGGAGGAGGCUGGCAAGCAGGCCUCUCCAGGACCAACUGGCGACGGGCACUUCGUCACAAUUACUUUUUCUCCUGGCUUACCUUUGGUUCCAAAAGUAGCCCAAAACUGUUCGACAUUUUCGCAGAGAUCCUGUGCUGCUUGCUCCUUAAUUGUAAUUGAUGUCCCGCAGUCAUCCACUAUCUGUACGACUUCCUUAUGAUUGAGGAAAACACAUUUCCCCCCCCCCAACCCCGUAGUCUUGAGGAAGCCGUUGCCAUUUUCCAGUUAUUGUGUGUACCAGUGUCACCCAAGAAAACAGAAAGUCCAGAUACCUUCAUUACCUUUCUGGGUAUACAACUUGACUCUAUUACCAUGCAGGCCAGUCUGCCCAAAGAGAAAAUAGAUCAUAUACUGUCAUGCAUUGAUUGUUAUAUUCAAACCAGGUCCUGCUGUCGGAAAGAAUUACAAUCUUUGUUUGGCUCCUUGAAUUUUGCUAUGAGGAUUAUUCCUCAGGGUCGGGUAUUUAUAUCUCGCUUACUAUGCCUGUUUCCUGAUCUUCCUCAUGAUUAUAGCAGGAUCACACUCGAUGACCAGGCCACAGCGGAUCUGCUCAUGCGGCGAAGGUUCUUGCUCUCCUGGAACGGGAAAAGCAUGUUCCUUCCCGAAAUUUCAGAAGAAUCACCCUCGAUAUGGAUGGAUGCAACGGCCACUACCGGCUUCUCAGCCAUUUUCGGUUCUGAAUAGCUUUGGGGUGCUUGGCCAGCGAAGUCCUGGGCAUUGAGGGUUUUCCCACUACCUCCGCUCUUUUUGAAAUUUACUUGCUUGCAGCGGCUGCUGUGGAUUGGGGUCGGGCGUGGUCGGGUUGUCCGGUUCGCUCUUUCUCGGACAACCAGGCCACGUGGAACAACAUUAAUAAAGAGCGUCUUGUUAUCUCACGGGUGUUAUCUUUCCCGACUGUCUCAUUCUCUAACAAACGCAGAGCAUACGACAAGGCUUUUUCCUUGUUUAAUAGGUUCUUAUUAGAAUAUGACGUUACUGACUCUUUUGCAAUGUUGACUGUGGUAGGUUUUGCCUUUUUUUUUUGCCACCUCAAACUUACAUUAACCCAUAGUACCAUCAAAUUAUUACUAUCAGGUAUAUAACAUCACAUGUUGAAAACAUGUCUUCAUACCAGAUUAAAUCCAUACUCAGAGGCAUUCAGAAAUCUGGACACGCUCAAACACAUAGAAGAUUACCUAUCGAUAUCCAGCUAUUUUAUUCUCUUUCAGACCUAUUAGAUGCCUGUCCCUUUGAUUCACGCACUAACCCUGUAAUUAAAGCUGCAAUAUACCUGGCUUUUUAUGGUUUUCUUAGGCACCGAGAAUUUAACACAACUUCCACGACCAACUUAAAAUACUGUCUCAGGAGGUCUCACCUAGCUAAACUAGGAGACUAUUAUGUACUUACCCUUCCACACACAAAAACAACCUAGGAUGGGUCCUUAUUACCCUACACAUAAUAAAUGGUGCCCGGUUAAAGUCCUAGCUUCCUAUUUACUUUCUCUUAGUAUCCAAGCCUCCCAACCACUGUUAUCUUUACACGGGUCAGUCCUUACUACAACGAAAUUCAUGACUCACAUCAGAUCAUUGAUUACGAGGCUAGGUCUCAACCCUUCCGACUAUUAUGGCCACUCUUUUAGAAUAGAGGUGGCAUCCACGGCCUCAAGCAAGAACAUACCUGUACAUAUAAUUAAAACACUAGGCCGAUGGAAGUCCUCGGCAUACUCCCUGUACAUACCACAACCGGUACAAGAACGCAUUUAAUAAUAUGUCCAUGUAAUUAUGCUCUUCCCUUUUGUUGAUUGUAAUGAAUUCUAGCCUGUAUCUGUUUUUGCCCUCUUUAUUUACAGGCCUACUGUUUCGUCGGGUCCGGCACACCACAACCGACUUUUCUCUUCUUACACUUUGCUACACUCCUUUUACUCUUCAUUCGGCCUUUAUGCCCCUAACACAACUAUAAUUAAUGCAUUGUUACCAGUUAAAGGACCACUAUAGUGCCAGGAAAACAAACUUGUUUUCCUGGUAGUGUGUAGUCCUUAGGCCCCCCCCCCCACCCUCAGGGUCCCCCUCCCGCUGGGCUGAAGGGGUUGAAACCCCUUCAGCCACUUACCUUUCUCCAGCGCCGGGCUCCCUCGGCGCUGGGGAACUCUCCUCCUGCCGACGUCAGUGCCAAAUGCGCAUGCGUUGCAAGAGCCGCGCGCGCAUUCAAACCGCCCAUAGGAGAGCAUUAUUCAAUGCUUUCCUAUGGACGUCUGCAUCUUCUCACUGUGAUUUUCACAGUGAAAAGUGCGGAAGCGCCUCUAGCGGCUGUCCGGCAGACAGCCACUAGAGGCUGGAUUAACCCUCAGUGAAACAUAGCAGUUUCUCUGAAACUGCUAUGUUUUCAGCUGCAGGGUUAAAACUAGAGGGACCUGGCACCCAGACCACUUCAUUGAGCUGAAGUGGUCUCGGUGCCUAUAGUGAGCAACUAUAAAAACAUCUCUGUGUACACGUGCACAACCUCAAUAAUUAUUAGCAUUCACAAAGCAAUAUAGUCCUCAGCACUUUACCAUUAUAGAAAGGGAUAUUUGCAGGCCCUGCUCAGACAAGCUUACAAUCUAUGAGGAUUUGAGGUUUUACUGGUAAGGUAGUAGGAGUGGGAUUUAAACCCGGAAUUCCCUAUUCUGAGGAAUCACCAUUGCUCUAGCCAGCAGAUAGUGUUACAACCAUUUGAAAAUAAUAAUUCAUUCAAUCACUGCACAUACACACAUGAAAGUAAAACCAUAAACUUGUCUGAUUGAAACACACGCACAUGUCAAUCGUUGAGAUCAUCAAUACCCAAUAAAAGAAAAUCAUUAUUGCCAUUCCAUUGAGAAGAGGAGCUAUUUUAUCAGGGCUGGCCCAACUACACAGGAGACUGAGGAGACACAGGGCCCCUAACAUCACAUGCCAGAGAGGUUUAUUGUAAUCUUUAAAAGAUGUGGAAAUAGUGGAGCGAUAUCGCUUAUCCCGUAAAAGUCACCUGACAUUGUAUGACAUUCUUAAGGAUGACUUGGAGCCAUUGUCAGAGAGGACUAAGGCAGCACCUGGGGUGGUGUUUAUGUUAAGCAUCUGGCAGCUUCCAGAGUACUGAGGGUGUUGUUAGUGGGAUAUCUCAUUUCCUCACUGCCCUUAGGACUCACUGUCAGAUGUGUAUUUCCUUUUCCUCAACUAGAGAUUCUCUGGAAUAUGGUAAAGAGGGGUUGCUACAGGAGGGAAGGAUGGACCAUAGAUUGCACCCUUGUGGCUCUCAGGCUGCCCCAAAAUCAAGAGGCACUCUAUAGGAACUGCAAGCACAUCCACUCUCUCAAUGUGCAAGUUAAGAUAAUUUUUUAUAUAUUCCGACCUGUAUUGCACUUUUGCACUGAUAAAAUUUGAAUUCCAUUUUGACCAUCCAACCCGUUUUAUUGAGUUCGGCUGGUCACAAUUCUGAUGAUAUUAAAUCCAGUCGAAAUUAGAAAAAGAAAAAUUAAUGCUGAAGCUAGUUGAUCAAUUAUAUGAUAUGGCAGGGCACAAAAUUUCCUCUUGAGCACUAGCCACUGGCGAGUAAGAAUUCAGCGACUAGUGACUAGUACAUAUCUCCCAAGUGUAUCUAUUUAGGAUGGGCAGUCCCUAUUUUGGGCCCAAAUCCCUCUGUCCUCCUUCUCUGUCCUAAUGUCCCUCUUUUCUAAGAGCUCCAUAUUGUUUGUCUGAGUGUAUAACAGAGCUCCACAGCAAUAAUAAAUCACUGUAAUGUGUCUUUAAACUGCAAUAAAUGUGUUUAGUAAUCAGUCUGUGCAAAUAAGGUAUAGUGCUCUUGUUCUAAUUUUAGUUACAUAAAUUAUUAGUAAUUCACCUAAAGCUAGCAUGUCAAACUUGCGUCCCACAUGGACCAUCUCUGCGGCCCAGCAAGCCACGAGUACAUGCUGGUGUUAUAGCAGAGUAGGCACCUGCUUUCCCCACAUUGCAGGUACCUACUCUGCUAACACUUACCCGGCCGGGGAGGAAGGGAUGGUGGAUGCAGCAAAGGAGCUCAGCCUUCCUGUUCCUCACUGCUCCCGUCUAGUGAAGCUGGGCACCGGAAUAUGACGUCAUAUUCCGGCACCCGGGAUCACUACAUCGCGCGAGGGAGCAGUGAGGAGCAGGAACGAGAUCUCCAGACCGAAGAUCCCCACACCAGCUCCCAAAGGUAGGGAACAAUAAAUUAAAUGGUGUGUGUGUGUGUGUGUGUCUGUCACUGUGUGCAUCUGUGUCAGUAAGUAUGUGUCUGUCAGUGUAUGUGUGUCUGUAUGUGUGUGUCUGUCAGUGAGAAUGUGCGUGUGUCCGAGUGUGUGUGUGUCUGUCAGUGAGUAUGCGUGUGUCUGUCUGUCAGUGAGUAUAUGUAUGUGUGUUUGUAAAUGUGUCUGUCAGUGAGUAUGUGUGUAUGUCUGUCAGUGUAUGUGUGUCUGUAUGUGUGUGUCUGUCAGUGAGUAUGCGUGUGUGUCUGUCAGUGAGUAUGCGUGUGUGUCUGUCUGUCAGUGUGUCUGUCAUUGUGUGUGUCUGUCAGUGAGUGUGUGUGUGUCUGUAUGUGUGUCUGUCAGUGAGUAUGUGUGUAUGUCUGUCAGUGAGUAUGUGUCUAUGUGUGUGUCUGACUGUCAUUGAGUAUGUGUGUGUGUCUGUCAGUGUGUGUGUGUGUAUCUGUCAGUGAUUAUGUGUGUGUCAGCGGGAGGAUCAUAUUUGGCACAGGGUGGUAGAGGGGGGUGCUGUGGUUUAGUAGAGGGGGGUGAUGUGGUUUAGUAGAGUGGGGUGCUGGUUUUUUUUUUAUACUGUACUUUUUCAAAUAAACCUACGUUUCUAUGAAAAUAUAAGGUUUUGUUUUUUUUGCGGCCCACAUAAACUUAAACCUUGUUUAUGUGGCCCAUGCCAGACUUUGAGUUUGACAUGCUUGACCUAAAACUUCCCAGAACAGCCCUGCCCAGGCCACACCCCCACUCACACCCAUAAAAUUAAGGUCUCUCUCUUUGUCCAUUUGAAAUGUUGGUGGUAUGUGAGUGUGCAAUCAUGGGCCCUUCAAGCUUGCAGUGCUGCUUAACUUUAAUGUCUAGUAGCAUAGGACUUGACAGUUUGAGCCGUGAUUUUAUUUUAGUGAGGGAGGAAAGAAAGUAAUCAGAUAUAUGCUCAGAGAUUUCUUCUGUACUUCAACAUUAUAAGGGAAGAGAUUUGACGUUGCACUUACGGUCUUCAGAAUUUUCUGGAUAAAGCAGGAAGUUUAAGAUAAAGGUCUUCCCCUAGUUUUCUGGAAAAUAACACAUAUGCUUUAGAGCAUAGUAACACUGUCAGAGUAUGUUUUAUACCUAUGAUAGUGAUAAAAAGAUCUGCUCAUUGACAUAGGAAAAACAUUUAUUUUCCUUGCUGUUUUCCAUGUAUUAUAUGAGUAACAAACUCAUGCAUAGAGUAAAAAAUAAAAGGAAAUUGUGCAGCAAAUCUGAAAGUGGUUUCUGAGACAGUAACAUGUUUUACAGAGAUAGUUACAUCUUAUACAAAGUUUUAAAAACCAUAAUAGAGAUGGCACUGAUUUAACAGUCACCACCGUGCAUUACAGAGAAAAUUAUUCAAUUUAUGGGGACACCAAUGCAUUCUGCAGAGAAACAAUCCUAUUACAGAAACCCAACGCAUUUUACAAAUAACUACAGCGAAACUCAAGAGAGUACCAUCAUGUUCCAACAGUUGUUAGAAGGGAUUUUUUUUAUUAUUUGUACAAAAUACUACAAACAAAAUAGUUUUUGUAAAAUACUCAGUACUAAAUACUGUGAGGGGAAAAAAGUAUUUGAUCCCCUGCUUAUGUUGACUGUUUGCCCACCAACAAAGAAAUGAUCAGUCUAUAAUAUUAAUGGUAGGUGUAAUUUAUGGGUAGUGAACCUGGUCCCUAACGCCCACCAGUGGGCAAUUCUGCAGCAAAUGACCGGUGGGCCUCGAUGGCCGUGGGCCAAGGCAAGCAGUUGAGAUCCUUUCAUCUCCUCUGCCGAUCCAUGCAGAGCCAGCCUUGCUGAGAGCCCUCUCUUUCACACACUAAACCUCUCACACACAUACUGCCCCUUCACACACACACGACUGCCCCCUCACACACAAUACACCUGUCACACACACACACUGCCCCCUCACACACACACACACACACAGACUGCCCCCUCGUGCACACUGCACGCCUCACACAAACUGCUCCCUCACAUACACACUGCCCCCUCAAACACAUACAGCUUCCUCCUGAAACACACCUCCCCCUGACACACAUUGCAUCCCUCACACACACUACACUCCUCACACACACUAUACCCUUCACACAAACAGCACCCUUCACACAUACACAGCACCUCACACACACACCUCUCGCACACAAAUCACCUCUAACACACACACACCCUGCACCCCUUACACACACUGAACCCUCGCACACACACACAGCUACUCUUACACACUGCCCUCUCACACACACACACACUGCCCUCUCACACACACAACACUCUUCACACACACACUGCACCCCUCAUACACACUGCCCCCUCACAAACGCACACUGCCCCUUCACACACACACACACACUGCCCCUCUCACACACACACACAGCUCCCUUCACACACAAACUGCACCUCUCACCUACACACUGCAGCCUUCACACACAUACAGCAUCCCUCACACACAGCACCACUCACACACAGUGGUGUAUUUAGGAUUUUCACUGAAACACACACACACUCACAUUCACUGACACACACAUUCACUUAGAUUCACUGACACACACUCACUCACAUUCACUGACACACACAUUUCCCAACAAUUAUUAUUAUAUAUUUUUUUUAAUUGAAAUCCACCCAGCCUCCCUAUGUUUGGGAUAGCUGGGUGGAUUUUUCACCUGGGGUCCAGUGGGGCUGCUGGGCAGGAAGGUAGCCGGACGUGCAGGCAGGCGGGCGGCGAUGGAGCUGAGUCAUAUUCCGGCUCCUGGUAUUACUGCGGGUCGCGCGAUGGCUCUAAGCAGAGCUGCCCCGGUGGAGCCCACAGGUUGCCAGCCGGCCAGCAGGUAUUUGCCUGGGCAUUUGGGGGGCGGCGUUUUUUGCCGCCCCCUGGAAAUUGCCGACCAGGGCAAAUACCUUGUUUGCCUCACAGCAGACACAUCCCUUCUCACACACACACUACACCCUUCAUACACAAAAACACAAACAGAGCUCCCUUCAAACACACACACAGCACCUCACAAACCCACAGAGAAAAAAGUAGAGCAGAAAAUUGAAAAAAAAGUGAAAAAUAGAUAAAUUUAAGUACAUAUUUUUUUUAAAAAAAAUCAUCCUUUCUAAAAAAAAUAAAUAAAAAAAAACUCACUUGCACUAUAGAAUUAGUUACUAUGGCACUGGUGGGUGGUAAGGAAAUGUUACCAUCAACAAAGAUACAAAAGUGGGCGGUAGGUAUUAAAAGGUUGACUAUCCCUGGUGUAUUUUAACAGUGAGAGACAGAAUAAAAAAAAUAAAAUGCAUAAAAACGCACGUCAAAAAAGUUAUAAAUUGAUUUUCAUAUCAAUGAGUGAAAUAAGUAUUUGACCCGUUCGACUUAAUUCUUGGCGGCAAAACCACAGAGGUCAGAGGCUUCUUGUAGUUGGCCACUAGGUUUGCACACAUCUCGGGAGGAAUUUUGGCCCACUCCUCUUUGCAGAUCCUCUCCAAGUCAUUAAGUGUUUGAGGCUGACGUUUGGCAAUUCGAAACUUCAGCUCCCUCCACAGAUUUUCUAUGGGAUUAAGGUCUGGAAACUGGCUAAGCCACUCUAAGACCAUAAAUGGACACUGUAGGCACCCAGAUCACGUCAGCUAAUUGUGUAUGUGUGUGUGUCUACAUGGGUGAGAUCAGUGUGUGUGUCGGUCUGCAUGGGUCUGUGUGUGUCUGCGUGGGUCAGUGUGUGUGUGUGUGCGUAUCUGCAUGGAUCAGUCUGUGUGUGACUGCAUGCAUCAGUGUGUGCAUCAGUCUGCAUGGAUCAGUAUGUUUGCAUGGUUCAGUGUGUGUGUCAGUCUGCAUGGAUCCGUGUGUGUGUCUGCAUAAAUCACGGUGUGUCUGCAUGGGUCAGUGUGUGUGUGUGUGUCUGCAUAGAUCUUUUUGUGUGUUUGCAUGGUAUAAUGUGUUUGUGUGUCUGCAUGGGUCAGUGUGUGUGUGUGUGUCUGCAUGGGUCAGUGUGGGUAUCAGUCCUCAUGGGUCAGUGUGUGUGUGUGUCAGUUCGAAUAGGUCAGUGAAUUUGUGUGUGCACUGAUUGUGAGCCUGUAUGUAUGUAUGCGCCAGUGAUUGCAUUUGUGCACUAAAGACAGUUUUAAUUUCAAAAUAUUAAAAAAACCAAUACUUUAAAAUGAACACUAUAGUGUUUGAAAUAUAAACCUGUAUUCCGAACACUAUAGUAUUUCUGUCCCUACAAUGAUUCAGUGUUUAAAAAAAAUCAAAUAAAAUGUGAAAAAGUGAAUGGGGCGGCAAAAUCUGUUUUGCCUAGGGCAGCAAAAAUCCUUGCACCAGCCCUGACGAGGUGAGAUCUUGCAUGGAGCACCAGACCGAGGGAGACUGACAGUUAUUUUGGGUUUCUUCCAUUUGCGAAUAAUCGCACCAACUGUUGUCACCUUCUCACCAAGCUGCUUGGCGAUGGUCUUGUAGCCCAUUCCAGCCUUGUGUAGGUCUACAGUCUUGUCCCUGACAUCCUUGGACAGCUCUUUGGUAUUGGCAAUGGAGGAGAGUUUGGAAUCUGAUUGAUUGAUUGCUUCUGUGGACAGGUGUCUUUUAUACAGGUAACAAACUGAGAUUAGGAGCACUCCCUUUAAGAGAGUGCUCCUAAUCUCAGCUCAUUACCUGUAUAAAAGACACCUGGGAGACAGAAAUCUUGCAGAUUGAUAGGGAAUCAAAUACUUAUUUCACUCAUUGACAUGCAAAUUAAUUUAUAACUUUUUUGACAUGCGUUUUUCUGGAUUUUUUUUGUUUUGUUAUUCUUUCUCUUACUGUUAAAAUACACCUACCAUUAAAAUUAUAGACUGAUAAUUUAUUUUUGCCAGUAGGCAUACGUUCAAAAUCAGCAGGGGGUGAAAUACUUUUUUUUCUUCACUAUAGUUCUCCAAGGUGAGGUAUUAACAUUGAAUUACAAAAAGGCAAUAUGGGGCAUUUCAUGUCAUGAACUAAAUAGGUCUUCAAGACCUGGGCACUGGGGUAUAUCCUAGAUUAAACUUAAUAUUUUUGAGUCAUUUCUUUUUAUAGUAAAUUCUUACAAUGUGUUGGAGGUGGUCCUUCAGAUCGGCGAGUAUAUAAGAAAACAGAAAGAGAUACAAUGUUGGAGUAUAGCAGUGAAUUUGGGUAGAGUCAGUGUGGAAAAUCACUUACAUUUAUAGGAGUUUUCAAAUCAGCUCUGAGAUUCAAGCGUGGGCAGAAUAAUCCCCGCCUUGGGAUAGGCAGGUGUUUUCCUUAGCAGAUUAGGUCCUAUAUAUUACAGGCUAAAAAAAGAGAUCCUACUCACAUGUUCCUGAGCAAUAUGGUAUUGCUCAAUCCUUAUGGCGUAGGUGGAUAUAUAAUCCCCACCGAGGAUAUUGCUGAUGGAGUUUGUACAUGAACAGAUGAAGAUCCAGGAACAGGAUAAACCUGGAUUUUAUUUGUAACAAUGUAAAAACAAUACAAGGUUAAUAUGUAAUAAAGAGAAAAGCAUUAUUACUGGCCUUUGUGAAUUUAAAUAGUUUUCGCAUCUAAAUCUCAGUGGGCAGAUGAUGCAAAUGAGAGUAGUGUAUUUGUGCUAAGCUAUUUAUGACAAAUUCACUUAUUAAAUUCACACCAGUCUGCCCUAUUUGCUUUCUGAUGAACCUCUGGCCUCUUAAUUUCUAAAUUUUAUUACUUUAUCUAUGCCACCUCAUCUGUUAGACAGUUCCAUGGAUCAACCACUUUUUCCUAGUGAUAGAUUCUUUGCAGAGCUUCGAACAUUCCGAGCUCUGACUUUUGCUUUUUUUUUUUUUUUUUUUUAAAUAUUCUAGUUUUGGAAAUCGGAUUCCUGAACCUUUGUGCUUGAAAUGCUGAAAUAGAUGGAUAUUUAAACUUUGCUUUUAAAUAAUUAAGGAGUUUUGUUUUAAGAAAUUAUUGCAGCCACGGGCCACAGAAGACCACGGAGAGCAUAUUGCAUGCUGUAGAGAUGCUUGCAUUCAGGAGACAGCAUUGCAGCAGAAUAUAUUUGCAUCUCUCAAUGGUCACACCUGGGUCUGGGGGUUUAUAAGUCGUCUAACCUUUGUUUAGGAGCACCAACACUUAAUAACCAAGCUCGGGGUGGAGGGGAGGGGGCGAAGAGCACGCUGGGCCGUGAUUCCCAUUUCACAAAGAGCAGACCAGAAUAACGAUGAGGUCUGACAGAGAGACCCAGAUUCUCAAUAGGAGUGCAGCGUCCCGUGGCAAUAAACUCCCCCCUCCAUCUUGCCACUGGGGCCCCUCGUCAAGCGCACUAUAAUCCCCCCCUGACAACCUAGAGACAGAUCACAUUACACCCCUUCCACUGGCCCCAGAGGUGGAGCAGCAGUAUUAGGGGGGCUGUGAGCCUCACACACCCCUUAACCCAUUAUGGUGGCAACGCACCUCCAUACGAUGCAACACAUCUAAUGAUAUAUAGUUUUCCUAUGGGGUGCAUCGGCCCCUCAAAUUAUAGUUCGUAGAACACAGAUGUGAAGAGGUAAAGGGGAGAUGGAGUUAUGGGGAGACUGGGUUAGCGUAUAGAUAUUUUAAUUUAGAAAUGACAUCAAAAGGUAUCUAUGCGCCAAUUGAACUAUACUAGUGCACUAAUUUGCAGUUCAUGUGUUGUAACUGUAGGUGGCAGUGUUGCUUCUGUUUGCAGUGGAUAAUAUGGAUUAUGGAUUAAUUAUUUAAACAUGAUGUGAGCAGGAUUGAAGCCAGCAAUAAAUGUUCAUCCCUUUCAGGUGCGUUUCCAGGCACAGGAAGUGAAAAUUUUAACCCUGUUCAACAGGAAUAGAGAGUUACAAGUCAG